rnacentral:rRNA from 1 species
AUUGAACGCUGGCGGCAGGCCUAACACAUGCUUGUCGAACGAGUGGCGGACUGGUGAGUAAUGUCUGGAAAACUGCCUGAUGGCGGGGGAUAACUCCUGGAAACGGUAGCUAAUACCGCAUACCAUCAGAUGUGCCCCGAUGGGAUUGGCUUGUUGGUGGGGUAAAGGCUCACCAAGGCGACGAUCCCUAGCUGGUCUGCGAGGAUGACCAGCCACACUGGAACUGAGACACGGUCCAGAGUCCUACGGGAGGCAGCAGUGGGGAAUAUUGCACAAUGGGCGCAAGCCUGAUGCAGCCAUGCCGCGUGUAUGAAGAAGGCCGUCGGGUUGUAAAGUACUUGCAGCGGGGAGGCGUUACCCGCAGAAGAAGCACCGGCUAACUCCGUGCCAGCAGCCGCGGUAAGUC